rnacentral:rRNA from 1 species
GACGAACGCUGGCGGCGUGCUUAACACAUGCAAGUCGAACGUGAUUUUUGUGGAAAUUCUUUCGGGAAUGGAAAUGAAAUGAAAGUGGCGAACGGGUGAGUAACACGUGAGCAACCUACCUUACACAGGGGGAUAGCCGUUGGAAACGACGAUUAAUACCGCAUGAGACCACAGAAUCGCAUGAUAUAGGGGUCAAAGAUUUAUCGGUGUAAGAAGGGCUCGCGUCUGAUUAGCUAGUUGGAAGGGUAAAGGCCUACCAAGGCGACGAUCAGUAGCCGGUCUGAGAGGAUGAACGGCCACAUUGGAACUGAGACACGGUCCAAACUCUUACGGGAGGCAGCAGUGGGGAAUAUUGCACAAUGGGGGGAACCCUGAUGCAGCGACGCCGCGUGAGCGAAGAAGGUUUUCGAAUCGUAAAGCUCUGUCCUAUGAGAAGAUAAUGACGGUAUCAUAGGAGGAAGCCCCGGCUAAAUACGUG